AUUGAACGCUGGCGGCAGGCCUAACACAUGCAAGUCGAACGGUAACAGGAAGUUUCUUUCUUCUUUGCUGACGAGUGGCGGACGGGUGGGGAAUGUCUGGGGAACGUCCUGAUGGAGGGGGUUAAGUACUGGAAACGGUAGCUGAGACCGCAUAACGUCGCAAGACCAAAGAGGGGGACGUUCUGGCCUCUGGCCAUCGGGUGUGCCGAGAUGGGAUUAGGUAGUAGGUGGGGUAAGGGCUGACCUAGGCGACGAUCCCUAGCUGGUGUGAGAGGAUGACCAGCCACGCUGGCACUGAGACACGGUCCCGACUCCUACGGGAGGCAGCAGUGGGGAAUAUUGCACAAUGGGCGCAAGCCUGAUGCAGACAUGCCGCGUGUAUGAAGAAGGCCUCCGGGUUGUAAAGUACUUUCAGCGGGGAGGAAGGGAGUAACGUUAAUACCUUAGCUCAUUGACGUUACCCGCAGAAGAAGCACCGGCUAACUCCGUG
rnacentral:rRNA from 1 species